rnacentral:rRNA from 1 species
UACGUAGGGGCUACGACGUUGUCCGGAAUUAUUGGGCGUAAAGAGCUCGUAGGCGGCUCAUUGCGUCAACCGUGAAAACCUGCCGCUCAACGGUAGGCUUGCGGUUGAUACGGGUGGGCUGGAGUUCGGUAGGGGAGACUGGAAUUCCUGGUGUAGCGGUGAAAUGCGCAGAUAUCAGGAGGAACACCGGUGGCGAAGGCGGGUCUCUGGGCCGAUACUGACGCUGAGGAGCGAAAGCGUGGGGAGCGAACAGG